UACGUAGGGGGCAAGCGUUGUCCGGAUUUAUUGGGCGUAAAGCGCUCGCAGGUGGUUCGUCGCGUCGUGCGUGAAAGACCCCGGCUCAACUGGGGAGUGUCGUGCGAUACGGGCGGACUGGAGGCCAGUAGGGGGAUGCGGAAUUCCGGGUGUAGUGGUGGAAUGCGUAGAGAUCCGGAGGAACACCAGCGGCGAAGGCGGCAUCCUGGACUGGGUCCUGACGCUCAUGAGCGAAGCGAU
rnacentral:rRNA from 1 species